UACAGAGGGGGCAAGCGUUGUUCGGAAUUACUGGGCGUAAAGGGCGCGUAGGCGGCCCGCUAAGUCGAACGUGAAAUCCCCAGGCUCAACCUGGGAACUGCGUCCGAUACUGGCAGGCUUGAAUCCGGGAGAGGGAUGUGGAAUUCCAGGUGUAGCGGUGAAAUGCGUAGAUAUCUGGAGGAACACCGGUGGCGAAGGCGGCAUUCUGGACUGUAACUGACACUGAUGAACGAAAGCCAGGGUAGCAAACGGG
rnacentral:rRNA from 1 species